CUGGCCGAGCAAGGAUGACUCGGCGACUUCGUGUAAUGACGCUAAACAAUUGUACCCAGCCCCACAAGGAACGCGAAGACACGAUGUGCCGUGCAUAGGCACCAAUGUUCCUCAACCACGGAAAACUGGCCACAACUGAGUGAUUAGGGACAUGCAGGGCUCAUGUGGGGAAUUUUGCGUUGUCUAAGGACAAGCGCCGACGGCGGCUCCCUGGACGUUCAGGUUGAGGCGGGAUGGCGGUAUUGUGUCGGUUGUGGACAAAUCGUGCACGCGGAAAUUUUUACUGUUGUUCAGUCGUUUUCUUCGCGAGUUGUCCGCCUAUUUGUGUGGUGAGAACAAACGUCAAUGCGAGUGCUCGAGUGAGUUGUGCUGCAAGGACACAAGCGGUGCUACAUUAGUGAAAUGUGCAGACUCUAUCGAUAGAGAAACGUCGUGGAUGAAAAGAAGGGCUGCCACUGCACCAAAUACUACUGCCAAGCCUGAUCACUAGGCUUCAAUGAAGAAGGAAAAGCCAUGUGCUAUCUGCACAGCUCCUUCUGAGCUCAUAUUUUUCAACAACGUCACUAUGAUGGACUCGUACACUCCACUCUGGCAAGUUCCUCUGGCAA